CUACCAGUUGGUUUAGAAAAAAAGAAAGAAAGACAGAAACGGAAAAAAAAGAUUGGAAGAAAAAAUUGGUACGAGGGCAAAUCAGAGGAAUAGCAGGGGAGAAACGCACCAAACAGACCAGUUUGUUUGGAAUAUCAUUUUCAGUAACACAGCAACAAACAGCUACCGCUGGAGAAAUAAACAUCUCUCACGACUCUCUUGUUAAUUUUUUUUUAAUGGCUGUGUUGUUUCAUAGUGCCCCCUAGUGGUUUGAAAGAACCUUUUUUUGUGGUUCUGGAUGUAUUGGUUGAUCAGAAAAGCAAACGCAUGCAACAGCAGAGUAAGACCAGGCGAAGAGACUGAGGGCAGACGUUUGCAGGGGAGUCCGGAGGUCUGAUGUAUGAAUGUCUAAAGAGGACCCUCAAGAAAAAAAGGAGGCGAUACAGAAAAAGGAGUCGGUCGGCGUACUUUCAGGAGCCAGCGGGCACACACACGUCGCACACACUCAUGAAAGCCAUCGUGUUGAAUGACAGCCUGUACAUUAGACGUCUUUGAACGGGGGCCACGGAGUGACAGUGAGCAACUCCCACCGCUCAGCCGAGUAUGAAGAGAUCGGAUGGAGCAUCUGUUUGGAGAGCACGGAAACAACAGGCGGAACAAGAGAGUAAAUCUGCCCCCAACAAUUUGCACGUUGUGGUCCAGCUUUAAAUCAUUCACACAACUAUGGAAAAUCUUGCUCACACAAACAAUAGACUUAUACAAAUAAAAAUAAUAAAUCAUCCCAUAUGAAUAUGCUUCCCCCGAUACAUCUUGUUGCUUGUUAUUAUCAAAACUACUUUUACAGUUAUUACCACUAUUAUGUUUCAUCUAACUGAUUUUACUGUAUUAUCGUUGUACGGUUGUAGAAGCCCUGAGGUUUGUGUACACAGUGGAAGAGGAGGAAGGGAUGCGAACCCAUUUGUUUCUAGAGGAGACAAGCAGCCAGUCAGCUUCGCCUUGUUGACAACUUAUUAAUUGUAAGUCAAAGUGACUAAGAGAGCAUCUGUUUGUCACAUGGAGGAACCGGUACUCUGGAGUGGAGCA